UACAGAGGUGGCAAGCGUUGUUCGGAAUUACUGGGCGUAAAGGGCGCGUAGGCGGCCUUCUAAGUCAGACGUGAAAUCCCUCGGCUCAACCGGGGAACUGCGUCUGAUACUGGAUGGCUUGAAUUCGGGAGAGGGAUGCGGAAUUCCAGGUGUAGCGGUGAAAUGCGUAGAUAUCUGGAGGAACACCGGUGGCGAAGGCGGCAUCCUGGACCGAGAUUGACGCUGAUGCGCGAAAGCCAGGGGAGCAAACGGG
rnacentral:rRNA from 1 species